rnacentral:rRNA from 1 species
GACGUAGGGCGCAAGCGUUUGUCCGGAUUUAUUGGGCGUAAAGAGCUCGUAGGCGGCUUGUCGCGUCGACUGUGAAAACCCGCGGCUAACUGUGGGACUGCAGUCGGAUACGGGCUAGCUAGAGUUCGGUAGGGGAGACUGGAAUUCCUGGUGUAGCGGUGAAAUGCGCAGAUAUCAAGGAGGAACACCGGUGGCGAAGGCGGGCUCUGGGCAGUGAA